AUUGAACGCUGGCGGCAUGCUUUACACAUGCGAGUCGAACGGCAGCGCGGGCUUCGGCCUGGCGGCGAGUGGCGAACGGGUGAGUAAUACAUCGGAACGUGCCCAGUAGUGGGGGAUAGCUCGGCGAAAGCCGGAUUAAUACCGCAUACGACCUGAGGGUGAAAGCGGGGGAUCUUCGGACCUCGCGCUAUUGGAGCGGCCGAUGGCAGAUUAGCUAGUUGGUGGGGUAAAGGCCUACCAAGGCGACGAUCUGUAGCUGGUCUGAGAGGACGACCAGCCACACUGGGACUGAGACACGGCCCAGACCCCUACGGGAGGCAGCAGUGGGGAAUUUUGGACAAUGGGCGAAAGCCUGAUCCAGCAAUGCCGCGUGUGUGAUGAAGGCCUUCGGGUUGUAAAGCACUUUUGGCGGGAACGAAAAGGACUGUGCCAAUACCACGGUUCGAUGACGGUACCCGCAGAAUAAGCACCGGCUAACUACGUG
rnacentral:rRNA from 1 species